rnacentral:rRNA from 1 species
UACGUAGGGUGCGAGCGUUGUCCGGAAUUAUUGGGCGUAAAGGGCUCGUAGGCGGUCUGUCGCGUCGGGAGUGAAAACUCAGGGCUUAACCCUGAGCCUGCUUCCGAUACGGGCAGACUAGAGGUAUGCAGGGGAGAACGGAAUUCCUGGUGUAGCGGUGGAAUGCGCAGAUAUCAGGAGGAACACCGUGGCGGAAGGCGGUCCCUGUCGU